GGGGUUGUAGCUCAGUGGUAGAGCACAUGCCUAGCAUGGGUGGGGCACUGGGUUCGAUCCUCAGCACCA
rnacentral:tRNA from 1 species